CAGUAGCCGCGGUAAUACGGAGGGGGCUAGCGUUGUUCGGAAUUACUGGGCGUAAAGCGCACGUAGGCGGCUUGGUAAGUUAGAGGUGAAAGCCUGGAGCUCAACUCCAGAAUUGCCUUUAAGACUGCCGAGCUAGCAGGUGAGAGAGGUAAGUGGAAUUCCGAGUGUAGAGGUGAAAUUCGUAGAUAUUCGGAAGAACACCAGUGGCGAAGGCGGCUUACUGGCUCAUACUGGACGCUGAGGUGCGAAAGCGUGGGGAGCAAACAGGAUUAGAUACCCCCGUAGUCCCUGUCUCUUAUAC
rnacentral:rRNA from 1 species